rnacentral:rRNA from 1 species
UACGUAGGGACCAAGCGUUGUUCGGAAUUACUGGGCGUAAAGCGUGCGCAGGCGGUUUUGUAAGCCAGAUGUGAAAUCCCCGGGCUUAACCUGGGAAUGGCAUUUGGGACUGCAAGGCUUGAGUGCGGCAGAGGAGACUGGAAUUCCUGGUGUAGCGGUGGAAUGCGCAGAUAUCAGGAGGAACACCGAUGGCGAAGGCAGGUCUCUGGGCCAUUACUGACACUGAGAAGCGAAAGCAUGGGGAGCGAACAGG